GCCGGACCCUUGCAGAUGAGUGUUCAGGCAGGUGACCCUUUAGGCGAGCCCUAGGACAUCUCGUGCUGGCCAGGUCACCUUUCUGAGUUUCCUCACCUCCAACAUGUAAAAAAUAACAAUGCCAGGCUUCUGGAGGUAUUGGAGAAUCAGGCAAGAUAUAUGUGAAUAAAGAGGUACUUUUUUGGGAAGAAGACAUCUGGGCAUCCAAAUCCAAAAGAAAAUCAAGAUCAAUACGUUCCUACCUAGAGCUUCGAGGAAACCAACCUUCCCUGAACUUGGCAACUGCUCUGAGAAUUGAACUUCUGAGGAUGUGCUGGAGUGUACCCUACAUGACUCUCCUUUAAUAAACAACCCUCUCCACCCUCA